CGGGACGUAGCGCAGUUUGGUAGCGCGCCUGCUUUGGGAGCAGGGGGUCGCAGGUUCGAAUCCUGUCGUCCCGACCA
rnacentral:tRNA from 1 species